rnacentral:lncRNA from 1 species
AGAGAACCAUGGGUUGGGUUGGGUUGGGUUCUUAAAGAUCAAAGAAUCAUGGGUCUGGUUGGGUUGGAAGAGACUUCAAAGAUCGUGGGACUAUAGAAUGAGUUGGAAGGGUCCUUCAAGGUCAGAGAACCAUGGGUUGGGUUGGGUUUGGUUGGGUUGGAAGAGACUUCAGGGGUUGUGGGACUAUAAAAUGAGCUGGAAGGGUCCUUAAAGGUCAAAGAACCGUGGGUUUGGGUGGGUUGGAAGAGACUUCAGAGGUUGCAGGACUAUAAAAUGAGCUGGAAGGGUCCUUAAAGGUCAGAGAACCGUGGGUGUGGGUGGGUUGGAAGAGACUUCAGAGGUCGUGGGACUAUAGAAUGAGCUGGAAGGGUCCUUAAAGGUCAGAGAACCAUGUGAUGGGUUGACUUGGGUAGGUUUGAGUUGGGUUAGAAGGGACCUUAGAGGUCAUGAGACUAUAGAAUGGGUUGGAAGGGUCCUUGAAGAUCGUAGAAGCACAACAUGUUUGGGUUGGGUUGGAAGGGUCCUUAACGGUCAUAAAAGCACAACAUGUUUGGGUUGGGUUGGAAAGGUCCUUGAAGAUCCUAGAAGCACAGCAUGUUUGGGUUGGGUUGGAAAGGUCCUUGAAGAUCAUAGAAGCACAACGUUUGGGUUGGGUUGGAAAGGUCCUUGAAGGUCAUAGAAUCUCAACAUGUUUGGGUUGGGUUGGAAAGGUCCUUGAAGAUCAUAAAAUGUCAACAUGUUUGGGUUGGGUUGGAAGGAUCCUUAAUGAUGAUAAAAGAACAACAUGUUUAGGUUGGGUUGGAAAGGUCCUUGAAGAUCCUAGAAGCACAGCAUGUUUAGGUUGGGUUGGAAAGGUCCUUGAAAGUUACAGAAAUGUGGGAUGGGGUGGGGUUGGAAGGGUUCUUGAAAAUCAUAGAAGCUCAACAUGUUUUGGUGGGGUUGGAGAGGUCCUUGAAGAUCAUAGAAGCACAACAUGUUUUGGUUGGGUUGGAAAGGUCCUUGAAGAUCAUAGAAGCACA